GCAGGCAUGGCGAAACAGCAGACGCACAGGCUUCAGAAGUCUGCGAGAGCAAUCUCAUGGAGGUGCAAAUCCUCCUGCCUGCA
rnacentral:tRNA from 1 species